UUGUGAAUGAUUUUUUUCAAUGAUUUUAUGAAGAGUAUGCAAUUUAAGAGAAUAACUAGUAUUGGAUUAUCCAAGAAAAGAAGGAAGAAGAUGGAAUUAUAGGUAUUCACAAUGAGUGAUAUAUUGAAGGUAACUUGAGUACAGCUGAUGAAAUCAUCAGGAAUAUCUUCCUUUGGAGUCCUUAAUUUUUACAUCUUAACUGCAAAGCAUAGAUGAUAGUUUCAAGAAAGAAUACUUCUGUCAUCCUUGGUUUUAAUCCUGUGAAUGAUAUGUACUAGCAAUGAAAGAUCUGUUGGAGUAAUUUAAUUCAUGUGUUCUUCACUCCUAUCUCUCACUUGGCGGGAAUUACUGGAAAGAAAUGCAUGCCAUUGUUUUUACCACCUUCUUCCUCAAAACUAAAAUAUGUUCUGCAUAAUGAAUGAAGACUUUAUACUUAAUGUGUGUUGCAAUGGACACUCCUUGCUCAUCAGAAGAACUGAACUCAGAAAACUUGUUUUUGAAAAGAGACCUAAAAUAUAGCCCAGAAAAUUCUAAUACUUAGUUGUAUUAAUUGUCUUUAUUGUUGCUGUUGGACUUUAUCUCAGGAAGUGCAAUGGAAGAAACAUUUGUGUCCAGAGAAGUUUUCCAUAAGUAUAAAGUGCAUGCAUUUAUAAUUAUCACUUAUGACAGGAUAAAUUUGAACAUGACUUUAAAAUAUUAAAGAAUGCAGAAUCUUGUGAAGCAGGUUUUUUUUGGUACUG